UAGUUUGUUGAGGUAAACGGUCUCCCCAAAGACGAUGAUGCGUAGCGGACCUGAGGAGGGGUAAUCGUCACCAUUUGGGACUGAGACACCGGCCCAGACUCCUACUGGGAGGCAGCAGUAGGGAAUCUUCCACAAUGGACGCAAGUCUGAUGGAGCAACGCCGCCGUGAGUGAAGAAGGGUUUCGGGCUCGUAAAGCUCUGUUGUUAAAGAAGAACGUGGGUGAGAGUAACUGUUCACCCAGUGACGGUAUUUAACCAGAAAGCCCACGGCUAACUACGUGCCAGCAGCCCGCGGUAAUACGUAGGUGGCAAGCGUUAUCCGGAUUUAUUGGGCGUAAAGCGAGCCGCAGGCGGUCUUUUAAGUCUAAUGUGAAAGCCUUCGGCUCAACCGAAGAAGUGCAUUGGAAACUGGGAGACUUGAGUGCAGAAGAGGACAGUGGAACUCCAUGUGUAGCGGUGAAAUGCGUAGAUAUAUGGAAGAACACCAGUGGCGAAGGCGGCUGUCUGGUCUGUAACUGACGCUGAGGCUCGAAAGCAUGGGUAGCGAACAGGAUUAGAUACCCUGGUAGUCCAUGCCGUAAACGAUGAUUACUAAGUGUUGGAGGGUUUCCGCCCUUCAGUGCUGCAGCUAACGCAUUAAGUAAUCCGCCUGGGGAGUACGACCGCAAGGUUGAAACUCAAAAGAAUUGACGGGGGCCCGCACAAGCGGUGGAGCAUGUGGUUUAAUUCGAAGCUACGCGAAGAACCUUACCAGGUCUUGACAUCUUCUGCCAACCUAAGAGAUUAGGUGUUCCCUUCGGGGACAGAAUGACAGGUGGUGCAUGGUUGUCGUCAGCUCGUGUCGUGAGAUGUUGGGUUAAGUCCCGCAACGAGCGCAACCCUUAUUACUAGUUGCCAGCAUUCAGUUGGGCACUCUAGUGAGACUGCCGGUGACAAACCGGAGGAAGGUGGGGACGACGUCAAAUCAUCAUGCCCCUUAUGACCUGGGCUACACACGUGCUACAAUGGAUGGUACAACGAGUCGCGAAACCGCGAGGUUUAGCUAAUCUCUUAAAACCAUUCUCAGUUCGGACUGUAGGCUGCAACUCGCCUACACGAAGUCGGAAUCGCUAGAAUCGCGGAUCAGCAUGCCGCGGAAUCCGCGGGGAAUUUCGGGGGCCUGAGACCGCAAAAGCCCGCCAGGCCGUUUUCCAACCCCACCC
rnacentral:rRNA from 1 species